GUCCAUUUCCUGAAUUCUCCUGAAUUCUAACCUCACACACGCACACACAGCCGCCGCCGGCAAUCGCAAUUUAACUCUGUCACAGUUCACUUCGGACAAAGAGAUUCCUCGAGCCUUGAAUACCGAGAAUCCGAAAAAGACUCGCGAACGUAACGACAACGCGUCAAGAAAGUGUUACGUUUUGACUUAUUUAUUUUUUUUUGUUAAUUUAAACGAAAAGAAAAAUGAACGAUAGUAGUUGAAAUAUAAAUUUAAACUUCCGAUUAAUACGGUAGUUGCUGCCACCAGAAAUAGUCUAAGGACUAUUGCGACGAUAAAAUUUUCUUUUUAUUUUAAUUUUACUUAGUAUUAAAAGAAUUGCUGUGCUACGGGUGCAGUUACGUUACGGCGACUGGCUAUUAUAUUCCACGUUUUUUGCUAACCUGCUAUGGGCAGGAGUACUAGCAUGGAAGAGGAUUGAAGUUAUUAAGAUAAGUAACUAGUAUUGGCGUUCGAGAUCGAGAGGGAUUCGAUUCGUAAGAAUUCGCGCUUUAAUGAUCGGGUAUCGGCGAGCUCUGUGAUUCGAUUUUGCUUUUCUAUUUAAUGCCAAGGAUGAGUUUAACGGUCCUCCCUGUGUGAGACUUGAGUGAUUUCGCAAGCCUUGCCCAAAGACGGGCGAUAUUUGCCAAGAAUGGGAGGAGGAAUGCGAAGAUCGUUAAGUGUUUUCUUCAAAAUAAAGAAAACACUAUUAUACGCAAGCAACACAGCGAAUGACCUAUCGUUCAAGAGUCAAAAAUCGAUAUUAUAUCGCUCAGGGAUUUCACGAGAUAGAAAGCAAGAUCGAAUAUAUUAAUUGUAGGUGACGCGGGUUUAGUCCCGUAUCCGGAUAUCGCGAAAUUAUCAGAGAAGAGAGAAAUUUAUAAGUUUGAUCUCUUACCUUGAGAUGUGUGUUAUGCCCAAAAAUGUUGAAGGUCCUGGGUUCCGCUGACGCGGUUAGCGCGUUGUGUAAUUAUUAAUAAAGUCUUUAUUUAAUUUUA